rnacentral:rRNA from 1 species
ACGGGUGAGUAACGCGUGGGAAAUCUGCCGAGUAGCGGGGGACAACGUUUGGAAACGAACGCUAAUACCGCAUAACAAUGAGAAUCGCAUGAUUCUUAUUUAAAAGAAGCAAUUGCUUCACUACUUGAUGAUCCCGCGUUGUAUUAGCUAGUUGGUAGUGUAAAGGACUACCAAGGCGAUGAUACAUAGCCGACCUGAGAGGGUGAUCGGCCACACUGGGACUGAGACACGGCCCAGACUCCUACGGGAGGCAGCAGUAGGGAAUCUUCGGCAAUGGGGGCAACCCUGACCGAGCAACGCCGCGUGAGUGAAGAAGGUUUUCGGAUCGUAAAACUCUGUUGUUAGAGAAGAACGUUAAGUAGAGUGGAAAAUUACUUAAGUGACGGUAUCUAACCAGAAAGGGACGGCUAACUACGUGCCAGCAGCCGCGGUAAUACGUAGGUCCCAAGCGUUGUCCGGAUUUAUUGGGCGUAAAGCGAGCGCAGGUGGUUUCUUAAGUCUGAUGUAAAAGGCAGUGGCUCAACCAUUGUGUGCAUUGGAAACUGGGAGACUUGAGUGCAGGAGAGGAGAGUGGAAUU